rnacentral:rRNA from 1 species
AUGCUUGGGCUGCGUCACUGGGUCGCGACGGUGCCGGAGGACGAGGACGGUGAGGCCGGGUGCCGUGGCACCGCGUUGGCCGCGGCCGGUGAAGGGGGCAAAGAAGGGCGGCUUCCCUGGCCCUGGCCGUGGCCCUGGGAGUUGGUGCGGUGGAAGCGGCACUUGAAGGACCCGGCGUGGGUGGCCGGCGCGCAGACGCACUUGGAAGUGGGCCCGUGGCCCGCGCCGGACGGCGCCGAUGCCGACCCAGGCCACCUCCUCCACGUAUUCUUGGAGCUGUGGCUGGCCGAUUUACAUGAAAUUAAUUCCCUCAGUUGUGGUGGCAAAUAUAAUACACAUAAUCCAUAUUGUUAUGCACUACCGUGUGUGUGUGAAAUA